UGUAGGUUAAGCUAGAAAGGGCGCACGGUGGAUGCCUUGGCACUAGGAGCCGAUGAAGGACGGGGCAAACGCCGAAACGCUCCGGGGAGCUGUAAGCAAGCGUUGAUCCGGAGAUGUCCGAAUGGGGGAACCCACUGUCCGUAAUGGGGCAGUAUCCAUGCCUGAAUCCAUAGGGCAUGGAGGGCACACCCGGGGAACUGAAACAUCUUAGUACCCGGAGGAGAAGAAAGCAAACGCGAUUCCCUGAGUAGCGGCGAGCGAAACGGGAACAGCCCAAACCAAGAGGCGUGCCUCUUGGGGUUGUAGGACCGCUCAUUGUGGGAGUGAGAAAGGAACGGGGUAGACGAACCGGUCUGGAACGGCCGGCCAGAGAAGGUGACAGCCCUGUAGUCGAAACUUCGUUCCCUCCCGAGCGGAUCCUGAGUACGGCGGGACACGGGAAAUCCCGUCGGAAGCAGGGAGGACCAUCUCCCAAGGCUAAAUACUCCCUAGUGACCGAUAGUGCACCAGUACCGUGAGGGAAAGGUGAAAAGCACCCCGGAAGGGGAGUGAAAGAGAACCUGAAACCGUGUGCCUACAAGUAGUCAGAGCGCGUUCAUGCGUGAUGGCGUGCCUUUUGUAGAAUGAACCGGCGAGUGACGAUGGCGUGCGAGGUUAAGCCGAAGAGGCGGAGCCGCAGCGAAAGCGAGUCUGAACAGGGCGAAAAGUACGUCGUCGUCGACCCGAAACCAGGUGAUCUACCCAUGUCCAGGGUGAAGGCCGGGUAACACCGGCUGGAGGCCCGAACCCACGCACGUUGAAAAGUGCGGGGAUGAGGUGUGGGUAGGGGUGAAAUGCCAAUCGAACUUGGAGAUAGCUGGUUCUCCCCGAAAUAGCUUUAGGGCUAGCCUCGGGAUGGAGAGUGUUGGAGGUAGAGCACUGAUUGGGCUAGGGGCCCUCAUCGGGUUACCGAACCCAGUCAAACUCCGAAUGCCAACGACUUAUGCCCGGGAGUCAGACUGCGAGUGAUAAGAUCCGUGGUCGAGAGGGAAACAGCCCAGAUCGCCAGCUAAGGCCCCAAAGUGCACGUUCAGUGGAAAAGGAUGUGGAGUUGCAAAGACAACCAGGAUGUUGGCUUAGAAGCAGCCACCAUUUAAAGAGUGCGUAAUAGCUCACUGGUCGAGUGACUCUGCGCCGAAAAUGUACCGGGGCUAAACGUGCCGCCGAAGCUGCGGGAUGACCGUUGGUCAUCGGUAGGGGAGCGUUCUAAGGGCGUUGAAGCCAGACCGGAAGGACUGGUGGAGCGCUUAGAAGUGAGAAUGCCGGUAUGAGUAGCGAAAACAGAGGUGAGAAUCCUCUGCGCCGAAAGCCUAAGGGUUCCUGAGGAAGGUUCGUCCGCUCAGGGUUAGUCGGGACCUAAGCCGAGGCCGAAAGGCGUAGGUGAUGGACAACAGGUUGAGAUUCCUGUACCACCUCCUUCCCGUUUGAGCGAUGGGGGGACGCAGGAGGAUAGGGCGAGCAGGCGGCUGGAAGAGCCUGUCCAAGCCGCAAGGCUGAUCCGUAGGCAAAUCCGCGGAUUGUAAGGCCAAGCGGUGAUGGCGACGGAGUCAUCCGGAAGUCCCCGAUUUCACACUGCCAAGAAAAGCCUCUAGCGAGGGAAGAGGUGCCCGUACCGCAAACCGACACAGGUAGGCGAGGAGAGAAUCCUAAGGCGCGCGGGAGAACUCUCGUUAAGGAACUCGGCAAAAUGACCCCGUAACUUCGGGAGAAGGGGUGCUCGUUUGGGUGAAGAGCCCGAACGAGCCGCAGUGAAAAGGCCCAAGCGACUGUUUAUCAAAAACACAGGUCUCUGCGAAGCCGAAAGGCGACGUAUAGGGGCUGACACCUGCCCGGUGCUGGAAGGUUAAGGGGAGCGCUUAGCGGAAGCGAAGGUGCGAACCGAAGCCCCAGUAAACGGCGGCCGUAACUAUAACGGUCCUAAGGUAGCGAAAUUCCUUGUCGGGUAAGUUCCGACCCGCACGAAAGGUGUAACGACUUGGGCGCUGUCUCAACGAGAGACCCGGUGAAAUUAUACUACCUGUGAAGAUGCAGGUUACCCGCGACAGGACGGAAAGACCCCGUGGAGCUUUACUGCAGCCUGAUAUGGAAUUUUGGUAUCGCUUGUACAGGAUAGGUGGGAGCCUGGGAAGCCGGAGCG
rnacentral:rRNA from 1 species